UACGAAGGGGACUAGCGUUGUUCGGAUUUACUGGGCGUAAAGCGCGCGUAGGCGGAUCGCUAAGUCAGGGGUGAAAUCCCAGGGCUCAACCCUGGAACUGCCUUUGAUACUGACGAUCUGGAGAUCGGGAGAGGUUGGUGGAAUUCCGAGUGUAGAGGUGAAAUUCGUAGAUAUUCGGAGGAACACCAGAAUCGAAGGCGGCCAACUGGCCCGAUACUGACGCUGAGGCGCGAAAGCGUGAGGAGCAAACAGG
rnacentral:rRNA from 1 species